CUGGCACCCAAUUGUCCAAGCUGGGCCCUGUCCCAGCACAGUCGGAAGCCUCUUUGCCUGCGGGUGGACGCACCCAUGGGAAUUCCCGGUUGUGGGAGAGGCUGUCCAGUGCUUGGCUGGGACAGGGGGCUCCCAGCUCACAGGCUGUGGCUCUGGAGGAUGGUGAAGUCUCAGGGUCCCUGGUGCUGUGUCUCAGUCCCUGCAAGGCCGCUGUCUUUGGUAGCAAUGGUGAGGGGCAUUGCAGGGCUUUGUUGUUUGAGUUCUUUGCUGCUUUGAGCUCUGGUGGAUGAGGCUGGAUUCCUGAAGCUGGUGUCUGUGUCUUUGCUGCUGCCCCUGCCCCCUGGCCAAAGAAACCUGCAAGGAUUUAAGGUUUUAGGCCUGGUAUUCCCUUUGGUGAGCUUCCUCCCAGGCCUGAUGUACUCCUGGAACUGCCAUGGAGGUGUCCUCCUCUCAGGACUGAGGAGCUGUAGGCUGGGUGCUGCUUCUGUUCUGCCCUGGGAACCCUUGGGAGGGCUUGGUGAGAAGCCUGAAGAUGGGCUGGGGAGACAUGAUCCGGGAUAUUCCCCCCUCCUGAUGUUUGGUACCAGUGCAGUAGGAAAAUCCAGGUUUCCAUCUAGCUCAGGAUUUCUUGGUCAAGGGGCCAAAAUUGUGGGAGAUGCUGGAAUUUGAGGGGGUAUUGUGCUAGCUCUGAUGUAGAGCUGCCUCCUGUCCUAAAGUAAACAGCACUCGCUGCAACUGGCAGACCUCUGUUUGUUUCCCUCAGAGCAUUUAGAGGGCUCUGUAGCUGCUGGGCUGUUCCCAACAGGUGCAAGGUCCUUGUCUGUGCCAUGUAAUUCAUCUUAUUUCACUGAGAAUUGAAGGAGCCACCUGGAAUUUGUGAGCUGAUGAAGGGAUUUCUGAGCCAAAGUUCCCAAGCUGAACAAGGCUGGCAGCUCUAGUGGACAUGCUGAUUCCUGGUAAUUGUGCCCUUCUGGCUGUGGAGCACCUUGGGGAAGCAGUGGGCUGAAGCUGUUCUUGUCUCUGGCAGUUGUGGGGCACACUUGGAUCUCUGCUCCAGCUGUUCUGGGCAGAGCUGUCCUGCCCUUUCAAGCAGCCCUUCCUUUCCUGGGCAGUUGAUCCGUGCUGUACUUGAGGGAGAGAUCUUGGUUGUGGCUGUGUCCUGCCUGCCUCGACUGGCAAAUGCUGCGGUUGUGGUUGUCGCGUGGCCGUGGGGAUCCUGGGGACAGUACCCUGGGGCGAGUGCAGUGAUCCCUGAGGAUGAAGAGAGGCUUGGGAUGAGGCGAAGAGACUUGGAGACACCAUUUUCCCAGAAUGACACUUCUGCUGAAAGCUCCUGCUCAGAAAGUGAAUGUAACCUUGUCUUCUCCGAGUCACCGACAAGCACGUGACAAAGAAGGGGACCCAGAAGUUCUCGGGGCCCUGGCAGCGAGAGCAACAGCAAAUGGUGUUGGAGAGUUUCUGUGAGCCCCUGUUUGUGAGUCUUGUUUGGGGUUGUCCCUUUGUCCCCUCUGGAGGCGCUCCUUGAGCGUGUUCAGGCUGUGCCACGUCUGUCCCCGGCUGGAUGCAGGGUGUUCCAGGUGCUGCAAGGCUUUGGUCAAGUGGCUGGGAGACACUGGACCCUUGAUGAGCAUUGACUGUGCUUGUGGAGGGCCUGGCCACGUGGGCAUUCCUGGGAGGAGGAGUGCCCUGGAGUGAGUGCAGUGACCCCUAAAGUUGGAGAGGUGCUUGGGAUGACACAAGGAGGCUUUGGAGAAACCAUUUUCCAGACUCACACUUGUGUUGAAAGCUCUGCGGCAGUGCUGAGUGUUGCAGAGUGGCUUGAAGGGUUUGCGAGAGCCGACCAGGGACUGGAGGAAUCGGCUUCAGCAGGGUCCCUGGCACAUGCCGGACAAGAACUGACACAGAAUUUCUUGGGACCCUGGCAGAGAGAGAGAGAAGCAGCAAACGGUUAAGAAAGGAUCUGGAUGGGAAAACAGCUUGUUUUCCAUGAAACCCUCAUGUGGAACAUCUGAACAAAGAGGAUGGGAUGAGACUUCUUGGAACCUAGAAAUUGAAAAUGGAGUUGCUGAGAUAAGUUUUAACAGUAAGAAAGCAGCAAGUUCUCUAGGGUAUGACAGUCUGUGAGCACUGGACGGGUCCUAUUUCUAUAUUGUGGCAUCAGUGGUGGAGUCUAUGGUGCUGUGUCUAGCUCUGGGGCCUCUGACAUGAGAAGGACAUGAACCUGCUGAAAUGACUCCAGAGGAGAAAUAAGGGCUAAAGAACCUCUCCUAUAAAGG